rnacentral:snoRNA from 1 species
AGGAAUGAUGAGGCCGAGGACACCUGAGCGAAAGCGAUGAAGAUUCUUCGCUUCGCUGAUU